AUUGAACGCUGGCGGCAGGCCUAACACAUGCAAGUCGAACGAGUGGCGGACGGGUGAGGAAUGUCUGGGAAACUGCCCGAUGGAGGGGGAUAACUACUGGAAACGGUAGCUAAAACCGCAUACAAUCGGAUGUGCGCAGAUGGGAUUAGCUGGUCGGUGAGGUAACGGCGCACCUAGGCGACGAUCCCUAGCUGGCCUGAGAGGAUGACCAGCCACACUGGAACUGAGACACGGUCCAGACUCCUACGGGAGGCAGCAGUGGGGAAUCUUGGGCAAUUGGCGCAAGCCUGAUGCAGCCAUGCCGCGUGUAUGAAGAAGGCCUUCGGGUUGUAAAGUUCUUUCAGCAGGGAGGCGUUACCUGCAGAAGAAGCACCGGCUAACUCCGUGCCAGCAGCCGCGGUAAUUC
rnacentral:rRNA from 1 species